UGAGGUGGUUUUGGUAAUCAAUAUCAAUGUUUUAAUUAAAAAGGUGGAACUAUUUUCUUAAGUUUUUGAGUAACUAGCAUGUAUUUUGGUGUGUAAUAUUUGUUUUUAUCACUAGUUACUGUCUUUCAUUGUAUUGUUGGUUGUUCUAGUCUCUAUCUUUGUUGUUUCAUAGAUCGGGAUUAAAUCAUUCAUGAAACUUGUUUCAUGCAAACUCUAUCAAACUAUAAGACUCAUAGUCUUAUCCUGUAAUAGUUUAUGUUUAAUUUGAAAGCCUUUAUUCAAAAAAAAAAAAAAAAUAUUUGUUUUUAUAGGUGUCAGUUUAAACUUCACUCCUGUAGUGGCUACAUUUGCUAAUUACUCCAAAGAGUAAAACAGUUAUCACCAUUAUAAGCAAUGACAGCAUAAAUAAAUAAAUGAAUUUUAAUUAUUUAUUUUCUUAUUUUUAGUAAAAUAGAAUUCUCUCCAACCACAUGUAUUUUUUCAAAUGGAUUUUGAUCAUUUACAGGCUGCCAAGAUUCUUCCUGCAUAUGAAGAUUUUCAGAUCGAUCAUAAACAAAAUAACUGAUAACCAGGUUUGAGUGUGGAUGAUUAUAAGACAUGUGGGGACAGGGCUCUACGUACUCGGAAUCAUAAGGUAUAUCAAAUGGAUUUUGAUCAUUUACAGGCUGCCAAGAUUCUUCCUGCAUAUGAAGAUUUAGAUCAAUCAUAAACAAAAUAACUGAUAACCGUUUGAGUGUGGAUGAUUUAUAAACAUCUAAGAGAAAAAUGCAAAGAAAAAGUGGAACCAUGUAAGGGGAGUAUGCAAAAUUCCAUAUUCCAUAUUGGGAAAUUAAGAAGAGUAAUUAACUUUUCACUUAAUCAGGUAUAGAAGAAGGCUUCGAGGACACUAAAGAUCAAUAACAUUUCCUAUCAGGGGCGAAGGCAGGUUAUGAGUAGAGAGUGCAUGUGCAUCCAUAGAAAUAAUAAAAUUUAAAAUUUUAAGCUUAAAACAAGUAGAAUUUGACAGGUAAAAUGGUAAAAGGCAAGUUGUGCACCCACGCUAACUCAAGUUCGAUUAUCUUCUAUGUUUUUUUUAUUAAUAGUGCACCCAUGCCAAGUAUCUUCUGGCUUCGCCCCUGUUUCCUAUUACCUAAGCUCAAGUCAAAGAGUAACAACGAAGCUCAUCAGUUGCGAACUCAGUAGAGAGAAGAAAGAUAAAAUACUUUCAAGGUUAUUGCAGCGACGACUUGGUGGGAGCUUUAGAAGUCCACGAAUGAUUUUCUCGUUUCGUUCUUCUUCUCUUUUACUUCCCAUUUCUCCAACCAACAACCAAAAAAAUGGAAUACAUACAAAUUGAAUAGUGGCAGUUAGAAAGAAAAAAACAUGAAUGGUAGUUUUUUUUUUUGCAGGAAUGUAGUGAAAUGAAAAUAUAUUUAGUAUAUGUAAGCAAAAGUUAUUAUUUUAUAUAAUUUUUAAUUUAUUUUUAUUUUUUGUUUCUGCUUUUUUUUACUUAGAUCAUUACAUUGCUUUCAUAUAUUCAAUUGGAAUUAGUGGAAUACAUUUUAUUUUUCAUUCCAAUCAAAUUGUAAUAUUUUUGUGGAAUCUUCAUGAAUGUCUCAUUGCACAUAGUUUUCAAAAAUGUACAUCCAAUUGCAGCCUUAGUUUAUUCCAUUCAUUUUCAGAUUGACAUAGUCAAUAUUGAUCUUGUAAUUUCUAAAACUAUAAAUAUGAAAAAUGGUUGAUCACGUUAGUUUCGCUGACUUUGUUCUAUUUUUCUAUUUUUCACAAGUAUGAAUAAAAUAAACUAUUUUUAUCUUAUUUGUUGUGUAUAUAUAUUAAAAAUGUUAGGAAAUUUUUUUUAAAACAAAAUUACAAAUCAUUGUUUAUACUAUCUCUUAUCAGAUAUUGAGCCAUGAAGUCUUCUAUCUUCUUCGUUGUUUUUUGUGUUGUUUUGUUGCUCGUUUUGAACUAUCGUGAAGGAGAAGCAAUAGCUCUUCGCUACAGGUGUAACGUUACAAUGAAGGGUCGUGGAACAUGCGGAAAUAAUGGAAUACAGCGUUGUCUCAAUGAUUCCAAGGAAACCAAAUACUUUCGACUUGUUGAUCAAUGCAGUAAAUGUGAAGACUCUAAACCCCCUAAAUAUCGUACCUGCAGUUGCAGUCAACCUAACCCUUACCAAUGCAAAUAAAUUCAUAUCGGGGUCAAUUAUGCAUCCAAUAUAAAAAGAUAUAUUUUAAUUUUAUUUUCUUAGUAAUAUAUAUAUAUAUAUAUAUAUAUAUAUAUAUAUAACACACUUCCAACCUGAUUUCAAUUUUCUGCAUUAU